GUCUCCACCCGAGACUCAGUGAAAUUGAACUCGCUGUGAAGAUGCAGUGUACCCGCGGCAAGACGGAAAGACCCCGUGAACCUUUACUAUAGCUUGACACUGAACAUUGAGCCUUGAUGUGUAGGAUAGGUGGGAGGCUUUGAAGUGUGGACGCCAGUCUGCAUGGAGCCGGCCUUGAAAUACCACCCUUUAAUGUUUGAUGUUCUAACGUGGACCCGUGAUCCGGGUUGCGGACAGUGUCUGGUGGGUAGUUUGACUGGGGCGGUCUCCUCCUAAAGAGUAACGGAGGAGCACGAAGGUUGGCUAAUCCUGGUCGGACAUCAGGAGGUUAGUGCAAUGGCAUAAGCCAGCUUGACUGCGAGCGUGACGGCGCGAGCAGGUGCGAAAGCAGGUCAUAGUGAUCCGGUGGUUCUGAAUGGAAGGGCCAUCGCUCAACGGAUAAAAGGUACUCCGGGGAUAACAGGCUGAUACCGCCCAAGAGUUCAUAUCGACGGCGGUGUUUGGCACCUCGAUGUCGGCUCAUCACAUCCUGGGGCUGAAGUAGGUCCCAAGGGUAUGGCUGUUCGCCAUUUAAAGUGGUACGCGAGCUGGGUUUAGAACGUCGUGAGACAGUUCGGUCCCUAUCUGCCGUGGGCGCUGGAGAACUGAGGGGGGCUGCUCCUAGUACGAGAGGACCGGAGUGGACGCAUCACUGGUGUUCGGGUUGUCAUGCCAAUGGCACUGCCCGGUAGCUAAAUGCGGAAGAGAUAAGUGCUGAAAGCAUCUAAGCACGAAACUUGCCCCGAGAUGAGUUCUCCCUGAGACUUAGAGUCUCCUGAAGGAACGUUGAAGACGACGACGUUGAUAGGCCGGGUGUGUAAGCGCAGCGAUGCGUUGAGCUAACCGGUACUAAUGAACCGUGAGGCUUAACCUUACAACGCCGAAG
rnacentral:rRNA from 1 species